rnacentral:lncRNA from 1 species
CUUGGAGUACAAAAUUCUUCUUCUGUGCAGCCAGUGGUUGCAGUUGAAAGAACUGUAUUUUAUAGAGAAAAAGCUGCUGGAAUGUAUUCUGCCUUACCCUAUGCAUUUUCACAGGUAACUAUAAUCAUUGUUUAAUCUACCGACAUUAUUAUUACUUUAGUUUGCAAAUUAGAAAUUCUCAUGUUAACACCUCGAUUUUUGUCACAGAUUUUGGUAGAGUUACCUUACGUCUUUGCUCAAGCCGUGACUUAUGGUGUUAUAGUCUAUGCCAUGAUCGGAUUUGACUGGACCGCAGAGAAAUUCUUUUGGUAUCUAUUUUUCAUGUACUUCACAUUGCUCUACUUCACCUUCUAUGGUAUGAUGGCUGUGGCAGUGACACCAAAUCACCAUGUUGCUUCUAUUGUGGCUGCUGCAUUUUAUGCAAUUUGGAACCUCUUUUCAGGAUUUGUCGUCCCGAGACCUGUAAGUAUAGAAUAUAUUGAGAAAAAAGUGUUUCAGUGGACCUAUAUUAUAUGUAUGCUAACCAUUUUUUUCCUUACCUUUUGAUAACAGAGCAUUCCAAUAUGGUGGAGAUGGUACUAUUGGGCUUGUCCAGUUGCUUGGACCAUCUAUGGAUUGGUUGCAUCUCAAUUUGGAGAUAUAACUACUGUUAUGCAGGAGGAACAUAAAGAUGUGAAAACUUUCCUUGAUGACUUUUUUGGUAUCAAACAUGAUUUCAUAGGAGAGUGUGCAGUUGUGGUCGGUGGAAUCGCAGUUGCCUUUGCAGUUAUUUUUGCUGUUGCAAUCAAAACCUUCAACUUCCAAAAGAGAUAAAUUGUACUCUUUCUCCAACAAGAAGGAUUCUUUGUAUUUUUAAUUUCUCCCUCCCAAUUUUUCCUAGUUUGUAUAAUACUUGUAUCUAUAGUCCAUGCAGUAGUUGCUUAGGAAAUUUACUUCCGCUUGCUUGAUACAAUUUGAAGCUUCCUUUAUAAAUGUACAAGCAUUUGAAUUUGAAUAAGAUAAUACUUUUGUAUUGUUAUUUUGAUAGUCAAUGAAAGAUAAUGUAUUUUGAGGCCAGCCUUUUAUAAUCAAUUCUGAGUUCUUAAUUCUCAAUUCCUUAUCUUUAUAACUUAUAUUCUUCCACUUAAUGCUGCUGAAUUUGCAUGCAAGAAGCUAUCUGUCAAAUCUGCUAUGUGAACCAAGUCUUGAAUAUUAACUUUAACCUCUGCAAUAUAAAGUGUACUGUGUAUGCAGAGUUCUUCCUUAAUCAAGAUUUUUCAUAAUGGAGGCAUGUUGUUGGAAAGGUUGGUAUCAUAUAUUAAAUUGUUUUGGAUUUUGGGUGGUUGAUUUGAAGAUGUAUGUGAGUUGUAAUGAAGGCAUGUUGCUGGAAUGAGUUGGCAAUGUAAUAGUGGUUGUGAUGGGUUGAUUAUCUGUCCUUAUACUUUGCAAAUGUUUAGAUAUUUUUUUUGGAUGGUUGUGCUGAUGAGAAAUGAUUAGAUGCUUCUCUUGUUGUUUUUACUAUCUUAUGCAGAAGUUGUAUUAUGUUUCUUGUAAUUUGGAUUUGGACUUGUAUGGUACUCCAUGUGCAAACUCCAAUGUUAUUUUUAUGUAUGCCACUCUUUCUAACACUUUUUCAUAAUUCAACUAACAUGCAAGAUAAUAAUAAUAAUAAUCUAUAUUCCAGUACAAUAAUAAUAAUAAUAUCUAAAAUUAAAAUAUUGCCAAUCAAUUAUCCGUUGUCUAAAAGGUCUUAGAAAUCCAGUGAAAAGAAGUCUCAAAAAUUAUUUUUAAAAAUUUAAAAUCAAAACUUAGAAACAAAAAAAGAAUCUAAAAAAAAAAAAUAUAUUAUCCUAUUCUUGAGGAUUUGACCGAGUAAAAAAAAAAAUGAUCCUAUCGUAUCGUUGAUUUUGAUUUAUCUUUGCCUAUCUGUCCGAUUGUUAGCGCUUUUUUCUGAUCCUCAUCCGUAAAUUAAGUAAUGAGCAGUUGCAAGUGCCAUAUAUAUAUAUAUAUAUAUAAUAUUAAUCUGAAUUCAUAAUUUAAUAGAAAUUGAAAAGAGAAAUUUAUGUGAACAGUAACAUUAAUUCCAGAAGAAGAAGAAUGGUUGCAGCCAUCAUCUUUUAUGUCUACUGUAAUUAAUGUUACUGUUCAUCUAAAUUUUAUCGUUUAAUGAUUUUGGUAUCAGAGACUGAUAAUUAAGGUGUAGUACUUUAUGCUAUGAUUUGUUAUUAGUUUUUAAUUAUUUUCUUGGAAAUUAUAAUCCGGUUAUUUAUGGUUUUGCUUUCAGAGUUCUGAUUUUUGUUCGUGGUAGAUUGAGGUUUUGGACCACAUACCAAUUCAAUGAAGUACGAUCCAAAACUAUGAAAAUAAAUUUGUUCCAUACAAAUUAUUCUGUAACCAAUUGUAGUUCCUAUUUUAUAUAGGUAAAUUCAGAAGGAGUAUGAUCCUUUUUUCUAUUACCUAAAAAUGCUUUUAUAUAAUGAUAAUGAUUGAACCUUCACAGUUUUUUUUUAAAUAAGAUUGAACCUUUACAGUUGGUGAUGAUAUUUGAAAUUUAUUUUACUAUAUUUUAUGCUUAAAUUAAAGAAUCUUAAUCAUACGUUCCACAGCUAAGCACAUUUUCAUAUAUUCAUAGUUUUAAUAAAGUAAGCAUUCAAAUUUUCUUUUAUCAAGCAAGAAAGGGACCAAGGCCCUUCUUCUGUGCGAUUAAUCAAUACAUUAUAAUAAAACUAUGAUAAUUUGGCAAGUUUGCCACGUGUCAGCUAAAUAGAGUGUUAGAAAAAUAUCUAAGUUUCUAUUAAUAGAAAUAAUAUCUUAUGUGUCAAUUAAGAAGUUAAUGAUCCAUUAAAAAAUUAAGAAGAAUGAAUUAAAAAUAAAAAAUUAAGAAAGAAAAAAAUAAAAUUUCCAAUUACAUACUACCUUGUACGUGAUCUGUUGAGAAGUUAAUGGUCGACCAGUUAAAUAAGAAGAAUGAAUUAAAAAUAAAAGGCGAGUUAAUUGAUAGUUUUUUAAGGUAAUUAUUUUUAAACACUACUUUAUCAACCACUGUUUCAAAUUAAUUUAAUUAAAAAAUUUAUUUUAUUUUACUAAUUAUUUUCCAACUUUAUUUUUUAAUUCGUCGUCAUCCGUUAAUCUCAUCUGUACACAAUUUCUUCUUAAUUUUUUCUAGGCUUAAUUGCAGUUUUGGUCCCCCUAUUUUAACUGAAUCGUGAAAGUAGUCUUCCAUUUUGUUUCUCCCCAGUUUUGGUCCCCAAACAGAAUUUUAGUCUAAAACUUGAUGAAAUCACAAUAAGUUAUAAAAUUAUAAUUAAUUAAAUUAAAAAAAAAAUAUACAUAACUUCCGGAAAACUUGAUGCUCAAGUUCUCCGGUAACUACCGGAAAACUUUAAAACAACGUUUCCGGAGUACAACCUCUGUACCGGACUUCUCCGGAAAUUUUGAAAAAAAACUUACUCUCUGUUCCAGAAAUGUAAAAGUGUGGAAUGGUAAUUUAGGUUUUAUUAUUUAUACGAGGGCAAAAUAGUCAUUUCAUUCUAAAUUUGGGGGUAUAGGUAUAAUAAGGAGGGUACAAGGGAAAUUUUUCCUAUUAUUUUUUUGUUAAAUAACUCAAGCAAGUGGGCUUAGCCUCCUUGUUUUAAUUGAGUAGAAAAAGGUCACAUUGCUUACAAUAAUAAUAAAAUACGGAACAAUAUAAAGCGCCCUUUUCCAUCACCAUCAUCAUCAAAUACUUUUUAACAUAAAUAUUUUUUCAAUGGAAAAUAACAAUAAAUAUUGAACGGUAAAUAAAACCCAUAAUUAUUAAACUCAAUUUUAGUUCUUUUUAACCCACGUUUAACCUUAACCAAAUUUCCAUAUAAAUAUUAAUGGAUACCGUAUUUACUAUAAGUCGAAUUUAUAAAUUUAUACUGAAAACUAGAUGUAAAGACAAACAACAUAAAUAUUUUAUCUCUUGAAUUAGAUACGAACUAACAAUAUCAAGAUUUAAAAUUGAAACAACUUUAUCCACGUCAUUUAUUAUAAAAUAAUGCAUAAUUUAUGCAACGUACUAAGUUCCAGAACCCGUGCCCAUAAGUAGUUAGGUACACAUAUUUUAGCAUAUAAUAUAAAACCAGCUAGGAGGAUCUUUCCUUCUUUUUACUUUUAUAUUAUUUUUUGUUAUAUGAAGGAAUGUAGAAGAAGCAUAGUCCUCCUUCUUUGACCAUCAUAUGAAAUCAAUUUCCCUCGUGUUCUUCUAUUAUUCUUUUUUAUCAAAUAAACAUUUUAAUUUCAACAUUUGACUCCUCAUCGCAGCCUGUUUCUUGUAAUCAAAGGUAGCACUAUAAAUACUAACAUGUCUUCCCAUUCCACAUUCAUUUCCAUUUCCAUUAACACCAACCUCAAUACUAUUCUUUUUUUCUUAAAUCAUUCUUUGAUUCUUUCUCUCUGUUCUACAAUCCCUUUAUUAAGUUGUUUCGUUUCAAUUCAAAUUAACAACAUUCACUUGAAAAUAAGAACAAACGAGCUUGCAUUGAAGGUGUUUGAUAUUGGAGCUGUUAGAAAACAGCCAAAAUGGAAGGAACUGAUAUAUACAGAGCAACUAAUAGUUUAAGAGCGAGAAGUUCAACUGUUUGGAGAAACAGUGGUGUUGAGGUUUUCUCAAAGUCAUCUCGUGAAGAAGACGAUGAAGAAGCUCUUAAAUGGGCUGCACUUGAAAAACUACCUACUUACAACCGUUUGAGAAAAGGCUUGUUGACUACUUCUCAUGGUGCAGCUAAUGAAAUUGAUGUCACUGAUCUUGAUUUUCAAGAAAAACAGAAACUUUUGGAGAGAUUGGUUAAGGUUGCUGAAGAAGAUAAUGAAGGGUUUUUGUUGAAACUCAAGGAACGAGUUGAUAGGUAACUAUUAUAGAAGUAAUUUUGCUACAUUGAUUUCUUUUGUUAUUAUUGUUCUCUCAUAACUCAUCAUGCUUUGUGUUUGUGUUUCUAAUUAUAGAGUUGGACUUGAUCUUCCAACAAUUGAAGUUCGAUAUGAGCACUUGAAAAUUGAUGCUGAAGCUUUUGUGGGAAGUAGAGCUUUGCCUAGUUUCAUUAAUGCUGCUACUAAUGUUGUAGAGGUAAUUAAUUAAGGACAGAUCAGAAAUUAUAUAUGCUUCCUAAAAUAUGGUUGAUGGUUUUUCUGUGUUCUGUUUUGAUAUUGCAGUUGAGCCUCACAAGUCAUAAUCUUUCUUUGUUAUCAGGGUUUAUUGAAUGUGCUCCAUAUUGUCCCAAGCAAAAAGAGACAUGUGGCAAUUCUUAAAGAUGUUAGUGGUGUUAUCAAACCUCGAAGGAUGACACUACUUUUAGGUCCUCCUGGUUCAGGAAAGACCACACUACUUUUGGCUUUAUCAGGAAAGCUUGAUCCAAGUCUCCAGGUGAAUUAGAUCUCCCUUUAAUAUCUUCAUUUUCAUAUAACUCAUUAGUACAAAGAUAGUAAGCUUUAAUGUUUAAAAUUAUCUAAUUUGGUUACUUAUGUUUAAUUCAUACAGCUAUCUGGGAGUGUGACUUACAACGGACAUGGACUGAAUGAAUUUGUACCUCAAAGAACUGCUGCUUAUAUCAGCCAGCAUGAUGUUCAUAUCGGAGAAAUGACCGUGAGAGAAACCUUGGCUUUCUCCGCAAGGUGCCAAGGAGUUGGAUCACGUUAUGGUUAGUCAAUUUUUACCAGUUCAGAUUUACCACCUUGUGAAUGUUUUCAAAAUCUUAUUUGGUAUGUGGAUAAAGCUUAACUUGUUAUUAUUUUUUGGAUCCAUAGACAUGCUAUCUGAGUUGUCUAGAAGAGAGAAGGCAGCAAAUAUCAAGCCUGACCCAGAUAUUGAUGUCUACAUGAAGGUAUACAUAAAGAAGCUAUUAUCAAUCUUGAAAUAGUAAUUAGAUAUGCCUUACACUCUUUUCAUAUCUAAUUGUAUUUUGAUGUAUAAUAGGCAAUUGCAACUGAAGGUCAGAAGUAUAGCAUUUCAACGGAUUAUGUACUCAAGGUAAUACUAAAAUGCAGUUCAAUAAUUAGUCAUAUCCUCUCAUAAUAGUUAGAUCUUUAAAAAUGUUUGACUUUAAUAAUAAGUACUUAUCCUCUCAUAAUACUAAAAUGUUUGAUUAAAAUGAUUAAUUGCGAUUGGUUGACAAUGUAAAACUUUUUACAGUAAUAGUAUAUCAAAAUUAAACUCAUAUUUCAUUUUUGAUUGGUUGUUCCCAAUUAACAUUGACCUUCCAUAGGCUCCUAUCAUGAUUUUCAUGCCAUACAUAAUAAAGUUAUGUUUCACGUUGUAUGUUGAAUUUCUUCUUAUAAGCCAAAGGUAUUCAGGUUUAUGUUGUAUAAUUUUGCAGAUAUUGGGUUUGGAUAUAUGUGCUGAUACCAUGGUGGGAGAUGAAAUGUUGAGGGGUAUCUCUGGAGGACAAAGGAAGCGUGUCACUACAGGAGAGAUGUUGGUUGGACCUGCGAAUGCAUUGUUCAUGGAUGAGAUAUCUACCGGACUUGACAGCUCCACAACUUUUCAGAUCGUGAGCUCCCUGAGGCAAUAUGUUCACAUUAUGAAUGGCACUGCAGUUAUAUCAUUGCUCCAGCCAGCACCUGAGACUUACGAUCUUUUUGAUGACAUUAUCUUAAUCUCUGAUGGCCAAGUUGUGUACCAUGGCCCCCGUGAAUAUGUUCUCGACUUUUUUGAAUCAAUGGGUUUCAAAUGUCCUGAUAGGAAAGGUGUUGCUGAUUUUCUUCAAGAAGUAACUUCAAGAAAGGAUCAAGCACAGUACUGGGUGCGCAGAGACCAACCAUACAGAUUUGUAACUGUUACUCAAUUUGCUGAGGCAUUUCAAUCAUUCCAUAUUGGUAGGAAACUUACUGAGGAGCUUUCUGUUCCAUUCGACAAGACGAAAAGCCAUCCAGCUGCUUUAACCACCAAAGAGUAUGGUCUUAACAAGAAGGAGCUCUUAAAGGCUAACUUUUCAAGAGAGUAUUUGCUCAUGAAAAGGAAUUCAUUUGUUUACAUCUUCAAGCUAACUCAGGUUGGGACUCUUUAUGUAAAUAAGUUAACAGAUACUCUUUUUCAUUUAUGCAUUCAUAAUUAUGAUAUUUUUUACUCAACAUUUUUCCCUUGAUGUUUUGUUUUUCAGCUUUUUAUCAUGGCAUUGAUAGCAAUGACACUGUUUUUUCGGACUGAGAUGCAUCGCAAUAAUCAGGACGAUGCGGGUGUUUAUGCUGGUGCUUUGUUUUUCACACUAGUGACGAUUAUGUUCAAUGGAAUGUCCGAGAUUUCUAUGACCAUUGCUAAGCUUCCUGUUUUCUACAAGCAAAGAGACCUUCUCUUUUAUCCCUCAUGGGCAUAUGCUAUUCCUUCAUGGAUUCUCAAGAUUCCUGUUACAAUGGUUGAAGUUGCUCUUUGGGUGUUUCUCACAUACUAUGUUAUUGGAUUUGAUCCAAAUAUUGGGAGGUAAAAGAAGUUGCUUUUAUUCGCAUUUGAGGAUGUGAUAUUGAAUUCUACUUAUACUAACUAGUUUGCAUUUGCAUGUUACUUAUGAUGUGAUGUGUUGAAUUUUGGGCAGGUUUUUCAAGCAGUUCCUUAUACUGUUUUUCACGAGUCAGAUGGCUUCUGGAUUGUUCCGAGCCAUCGCAGCAUUAGGUAGAAACAUGAUUGUAGCAAACACAUUUGGGUCCUUUGCAGUUCUCACACUUCUUGCAUUGGGUGGCUUCAUUCUCUCAAGAAGUAAGUUAAAUUCACUAACACAUUUUAAUUUUAACCAAAAAUAAAUAAAUGUUGUAUUUUUUUUCUUUGCAAUAGAAAAAGAUGUUGUUAAAUUUAUUUUAUUUAUUGUAAUGAAAUGAAACCUUAACUAAUUAAUGCUUCUGGAAUUUUAUUUCUAAUGUAACAGAGGAUAUCAAAAGCUGGUGGAUUUGGGGUUACUGGAUCUCACCUUUGAUGUAUGGGCAGAAUGCUUUGAUGGCCAAUGAAUUUCUUGGGAACAAUUGGCACAAUGUAAUUUCUUGAGCUUGCUUGCAACUUUAUAUUUCAUCUACUUUUGAUCGAGAAUAUUACAAGCCUAAUCUAUUUUAUACUUAAUUAUAGGCUACUUUUGAUUUGGGAAAAUUAUAUCUCGACAACCGUGGGUUCUUCCCACAUGCAUAUUGGUAUUGGAUAGGCAUUGGGGGAUUGGUUGGUUUUGUGUUCCUUUUCAAUGCAUUGUUUGGAGUGGCUCUUGCUGUACUGGGCCCAUUUGAUAAACCUCAAGCUACAAUAACUGAAGAUUCAGAAGAAGUUGUUGAAGAAGUUGAAUUACCACGCAUAGGUGAGCUAUUUUGAUUAUAUGCACUUCAUGCAUGAGCUAUUUUGAUUAUAUGCACAUCAUGCAUAGAGUAACUCAUCAUAUAGCUUUAGUAGCUGAACAUUUUCUCAAUUAUCUUUCAGAAAGUUCAGGAAGAGGCGAUUCUGUUACAGAGUCCAGCCACGGAAAGAAAAAGGGAAUGGUUCUUCCAUUUGAACCACACUCUAUCACUUUUGAUGAUAUUGUAUACUCUGUUGACAUGCCAGCGGUAAGUAACAACAAAAGUGAUAUAUUCAGCAUUUAGGUUUCUAGCUUGACUCUUAUUUCAAUCUAAUAUAUAAUUUGAAACACUAACUCUUUUGAUUUCUCAACUGGCAGGAAAUGAAGGAGCAAGGUGUUCAAGAGGAUAGAUUAGUGCUUUUGAAGGGCGUGAGCGGCGCAUUUAGGCCUGGUGUUCUCACAGCUUUGAUGGGUGUAAGUGGAGCUGGUAAGACAACUUUGAUGGAUGUUCUGGCCGGUAGGAAAACCGGUGGAUAUAUUGAUGGAAGCAUCAAGGUUUCGGGAUACCCUAAAAAGCAAGAAACAUUUGCUAGAAUCUCUGGCUACUGUGAGCAGAAUGAUAUCCAUUCACCUCAUGUUACAGUUUAUGAGUCCUUGCUUUACUCAGCAUGGCUUCGUUUACCUUCAGGAGUUGAUUCCAAUACCAGAAAGGUUAGUUAGUAGUUGUAGCAUAGGAACUAUGCCCUUUUAAUUUUCCUUUCCCCUAAUGAAAAGUUUAAGCUAUUAGAGGUUUAUUGUUCUAACUUUAUCGGAAAUCGCAAAUGGUUACAGAUGUUCAUUGACGAAGUCAUGGACCUGGUGGAGCUGAACUCAUUAAGGAACUCCCUGGUUGGUUUGCCUGGUGUGAGUGGCCUCUCAACUGAACAACGGAAGAGGCUGACUAUUGCAGUUGAACUAGUGGCUAAUCCAUCUAUAAUUUUCAUGGAUGAGCCUACUUCUGGUUUAGAUGCAAGAGCAGCUGCAAUCGUUAUGAGAACCGUAAGGAACACGGUGGACACGGGAAGAACAGUUGUGUGUACCAUCCAUCAGCCUAGCAUUGACAUAUUCGAAGCGUUUGACGAGGUAUGUAGAGAAUGGUGCAAUAAAUAAAUUAAUGACAAAUAAAAGCUACCUUUUAUAAUUUUUUCCUCUCAAUUUGAGUUGAAUCUGACAUAUUAUUUGUAUGCAAUUCUAGCUAUUCCUCAUGAAGCGUGGAGGACAAGAAAUAUACGUUGGACCACUGGGUCGCCAUUCUACUCAUUUGAUCAAGUAUUUCGAGGUAGGUUCCUACUUAAGAUUGCUAUUUACUUAAGUGGAUGACUCUUACUUCUUAAUUGUAAUUACUAAAUUUUUCAAAUAACUUUCAUUGUCCAGAGUAUUGAAGGGGUGAGCAAAAUCAACAACGGAUAUAACCCAGCAACAUGGAUGUUGGAAGUUACAACUACAGCACAAGAACAUAAUUUGGGAGUUGACUUUACUGACUAUUACAAAAAUUCUGAUCUAUAUAGGUAAACUAAUGCAUAUAGAUAUGAAUCUAUAAAUAAACUACAGUAGCAGUUGCUGUCAUGUUUGUUUUCUUGAUUUGCAUCAUGCUUAAAUUGUUUUUAUGGUUCCUCAGGAGAAACAAGCAGCUUAUACAAGAAUUGGGCCAGCCUGCUCCUGGUUCAAAAGAUCUUCAUUUCCCUACGCAAUUCUCGCAGUCUUUCUUGGUCCAGUGCCAAGCCUGCCUAUGGAAACAACGUUGGUCAUAUUGGCGUAACCCACCAUACACUGCUGUGAGGUUUUUCUUCACUACAUUCAUAGCCUUGAUGUUUGGAACAAUUUUCUGGGACCUUGGUGGCAAACAGUAAGUCAAGCUAUAUUUAAUUAAAAAAAUUUUAUAUUAUUUACCUAACAAUAUUUUUUGUUAUCUCUAUAUCUAUUUACACCGGAAUUCUAAUUCCAUUUGGUGACUUGCAGCUCAAGUAGACAAGAUCUGUUGAAUGCUGUGGGUUCAAUGUAUACCGCUGUUCUCUUCCUUGGAGUACAAAAUUCUUCUUCUGUGCAGCCAGUGGUCGCAGUUGAAAGAACUGUAUUUUAUAGAGAAAAGGCUGCAGGAAUGUAUUCUGCCUUACCCUAUGCAUUUUCACAGGUAACUAUAAUCAUUGUUUAAUCUACUGACAUUAUUAUUACUUACUUUAGUUUGCAAACUAGAAAUUCUCGUAUUAACACCUCGAUUUUUGUCACAGAUUUUGGUAGAGUUACCUUACGUCUUUGCCCAAGCCGUGACUUAUGGUGUUAUAGUCUAUGCCAUGAUCGGAUUUGAAUGGACCGCAGAGAAAUUCUUUUGGUAUCUAUUUUUCAUGUACUUCACAUUGCUCUACUUCACCUUCUAUGGUAUGAUGGCUGUGGCAGUGACACCAAAUCACCAUGUUGCUUCCAUUGUGGCUGCUGCAUUUUAUGCAAUUUGGAACCUCUUUUCAGGAUUCGUCGUCCC